GAAAGGUGUCGGACGGCUCUUUGGGUGUUCAAGACUUCAGGCCCCCGUUUUAGGGUCAACGGAGCAAAACGUGAGGAGAGAAAAGGAGCCCUCGGGCACCGGACGCUCAGUCUGAAUCCUGAUAUUUUUUGUAACCAGGAAAGAAUACCAGGAAAAAUUACAGCAGAGGAAUCACAACAAAUAAGGCAUGAGUGAGUUGAAAAAGUGAAGUUUUGAUCGGCAGCAUUUGGAGAUGACUGGAGAAGAGAAAGAAUCAAGGACAAUUGACGCAGAAACAGAUUCUGGAAUUGAUGAUCCUUUGGCCACUUCUGAGGUGACAACUGAUGCAAACAGGACAAGAAAUGCUGAUAGAGGUAAAGGUGGGCCCCUGCCUGACAUCCUUUUUAAUCUCUGAGGGGAGAGGGGAAGUAAUUGAGGGGAGAUGGAAGUAAUGAUACAAAGUAGGUGGAGCUGGG
rnacentral:lncRNA from 1 species